rnacentral:rRNA from 1 species
GACGAACGCUGGCGGCGUGCUUAACACAUGCAAGUCGAACGGAAAGGCCCUGCUUUUGUGGGGUGCUCGAGUGGCGAACGGGUGAGUAACACGUGAGUAACCUGCCCUUGACUUUGGGAUAACUUCAGGAAACUGGGGCUAAUACCGGAUAGGAGCUCCUGCUGCAUGGUGGGGGUUGGAAAGUUUCGGCGGUUGGGGAUGGACUCGCGGCUUAUCAGCUUGUUGGUGGGGUAGUGGUUUACCAAGGCUUUGACGGGUAGCCGGCCUGGGAGGGUGACCGGCCACAUUGGGACUGAGAUACGGCCCAGACUCCUACGGGGGGCAGCAGUGGGGAAUAUUGCACAAUGGGCGGAAGCCUGAUGCAGCAACGCCGCGUGCGGAAUGACGGCCUUCGGGUUGUAAACCGCUUUCGCCUGUGACGAAGCGUGAGUGACGGUAAUGGGUAAAGAAGCACCGGCUAACUACGUG